CGUUGCACUAUCGUUAACUGAAUACAUAGGUUAACGAGGCGAACCGGGGGAACUGAAACAUCUAAGUACCCCGAGGAAAAGAAAUCAACCGAGAUUCCCCCAGUAGCGGCGAGCGAACGGGGAGCAGCCCGGAGUCUGAAUCAGCUUGUGUGUUAGUGGAACGGUCUGGAAAGUCCGACGGUACAGGGUGAUAGUCCCGUACACGAAAGCACACUUGCUGUGAACUCGAAGAGUAGGGCGGGACACGUGGUAUCCUGUCUGAAUAUGGGGGGACCAUCCUCCAAGGCUAAAUACUCCUGACUGACCGAUAGUGAACCAGUACCGUGAGGGAAAGGCGAAAAGAACCCCGGCGAGGGGAGUGAAAAAGAACCUGAAACCGUGUACGUACAAGCAGUGGGAGCCUCUUUAUGGGGUGACUGCGUACCUUUUGUAUAAUGGGUCAGCGACUUAUAUUCUGUAGCAAGGUUAACCGUAUAGGGGAGCCGAAGGGAAACCGAGUCUUAACUGGGCGUUAAGUUGCAGGGUAUAGACCCGAAACCCGGUGAUCUAGCCAUGGGCAGGUUGAAGGUUGGGUAACACUAACUGGAGGACCGAACCGACUAAUGUUGAAAAAUUAGCGGAUGACCUGUGGCUGGGGGUGAAAGGCCAAUCAAACCGGGAGAUAGCUGGUUCUCCCCGAAAGCUAUUUAGGUAGCGCCUCGUGAACUCAUCUUCGGGGGUAGAGCACUGUUUCGGCUAGGGGGCCAUCCCGGCUUACCAACCCGAUGCAAACUACGAAUACCGAAGAAUGUUAUCACGGGAGACACACGGCGGGUGCUAACGUCCGUCGUGAAGAGGGAAACAACCCAGACCGCCAGCUAAGGUCCCAAAGUCAUGGUUAAGUGGGAAACGAUGUGGGAAGGCACAGACAGCCAGGAUGUUGGCUUAGAAGCAGCCAUCAUUUAAAGAAAGCGUAAUAGCUCACUGGUCGAGUCGGCCUGCGCGGAAGAUGUAACGGGGCUAAACCAUGCACCGAAGCUGCGGCAGCGACGCUUAUGCGUUGUUGGGUAGGGGAGCGUUCUGUAAGCCGUUGAAGGUGUNNNNNNNNNNNNNNNNNNNNNNUUAACGCUGAGGUGUGAUGACGAGGCACUACGGUGCUGAAGUGAUAAAUGCCCUGCUUCCAGGAAAAGCCUCUAAGCAUCAGGUAACACGAAAUCGUACCCCAAACCGACACAGGUGGUCAGGUAGAGAAUACCAAGGCGCUUGAGAGAACUCGGGUGAAGGAACUAGGCAAAAUGGUGCCGUAACUUCGGGAGAAGGCACGCUGAUAUGUAGGUGAAGUCCCUGCGGACGGAGCUGAAAUCAGUCGAAGAUACCAGCUGGCUGCAACUGUUUAUUAAAAACACAGCACUGUGCAAACACGAAAGUGGACGUAUACGGUGUGACGCCUGCCCGGUGCCGGAAGGUUAAUUGAUGGGGUUAGCGGCAACGCGAAGCUCUUGAUCGAAGCCCCGGUAAACGGCGGCCGUAACUAUAACGGUCCUAAGGUAGCGAAAUUCCUUGUCGGGUAAGUUCCGACCUGCACGAAUGGCGUAAUGAUGGCCAGGCUGUCUCCACCCGAGACUCAGUGAAAUUGAACUCGCUGUGAAGAUGCAGUGUACCCGCGGCAAGACGGAAAGACCCCGUGAACCUUUACUAUAGCUUGACACUGAACACUGGUCCUUGAUGUGUAGGAUAGGUGGGAGGCUUUGAAGCGUGGACGCCAGUCUGCGUGGAGCCAACCUUGAAAUACCACCCUUUAAUGGCUGGUGUUCUAACGUAGACCCGUAAUCCGGGUUGCGGACAGUGUCUGGUGGGUAGUUUGACUGGGGCGGUCUCCUCCCAAAGAGUAACGGAGGAGCACGAAGGUUGGCUAAUCCUGGUCGGACAUCAGGAGGUUAGUGCAAUGGCAUAAGCCAGCUUGACUGCGAGCGUGACGGCGCGAGCAGGUGCGAAAGCAGGUCAUAGUGAUCCGGUGGUUCUGAAUGGAAGGGCCAUCGCUCAACGGAUAAAAGGUACUCCGGGGAUAACAGGCUGAUACCGCCCAAGAGUUCAUAUCGACGGCGGUGUUUGGCACCUCGAUGUCGGCUCAUCACAUCCUGGGGCUGAAGUAGGUCCCAAGGGUAUGGCUGUUCGCCAUUUAAAGUGGUACGCGAGCUGGGUUUAGAACGUCGUGAGACAGUUCGGUCCCUAUCUGCCGUGGGCGCUGGAGAAUUGAGGGGGGCUGCUCCUAGUACGAGAGGACCGGAGUGGACGCAUCACUGGUGUUCGGGUUGUCAUGCCAAUGGCACUGCCCGGUAGCUAAAUGCGGAAGAGAUAAGUGCUGAAAGCAUCUAAGCACGAAACUUGCCCCGAGAUGAGUUCU
rnacentral:rRNA from 1 species